ACGUACAAGUCAGCAGUCGGUCCUUAUACUCCGUGGCUACACACACGCUAACAGUGGAAGGACAAUAGGUUGCGAAGCCGCGAGGCGGAGCCAAUCCAGCAAAACUUCCCUCAGUUCAGAUUGCAGGCUGCAACCCGCCUGCAUGAAGUUGGAGUUGCUAGUAAACGCAGGUCAGCCAUACUGCGUUGAAUACGUUCCCGGGGCUU
rnacentral:rRNA from 1 species